UACGUAGGUGGCAAGCGUUGUCCGGAUUUACUGGGUGUAAAGGGCGUGUAGCCGGGCUGACAAGUCAGAUGUGAAAUCCGGGGGCUCAACCUCCGCCCGCCGUUGAAACUGACGGUCUUGAGUGGGCGAGAAGUAUGCGGAAUGCGUGGUGUAGCGGUGAAAUGCAUAGAUAUCACGCAGAACUCCGAUUGCGAAGGCAGCAUACCGGCGCCCAACUGACGCUGAAGCACGAAAGCGUGGGUAUCGAACAGG
rnacentral:rRNA from 1 species